rnacentral:rRNA from 1 species
AUGCGUAGGGUGCGAGCUUUGUCCGGAAUUACUGGGCGAAAAGAGCGCGUAGGUGGUUUGUCGCGACGUCUGUGAAAUUCCGGGGCUUAACUCGGAUCGUGUAGGCGAUACGCGCUUUACUUGAGUACUGUAGGGGAGAGUGGACUUCCUGGCGCAGCGGUAAGAUGAGCAGAUAUGAGGAGGAACACCGGGGGCGAAGGGGGGUCUCUGGGCAGUAACUGACGCUGAGGAGCGAAAGCAUGGGUAGCGAACAGGAUUAGAUACCCUGGUAGUCCAUGCUGUAAACGGUGGGCGCUAGGUGUAGGGGUCUUCCACGAUUUCUGUGCCGUAGCUAACGCAUUAAGCGCCCCGCCUGGGGAGUACGGCCGCAAGGCUAAAACUCAAAGGAAUUGGCGGGG